rnacentral:rRNA from 1 species
AUUGAACGCUGGCGGCAGGCCUAACACAUGCAAGUCGAACGGUAACAGGAAUCAGCUUGCUGAUUUGCUGACGAGUGGCGGACGGGUGAGUAAUGUCUGGGAAACUGCCUGAUGGAGGGGGAUAACUACUGGAAACGGUAGCUAAUACCGCAUAACGUCGCAAGACCAAAGAGGGGGACCUUCGGGCCUCUUGCCAUCGGAUGUGCCCAGAUGGGAUUAGCUAGUAGGUGGGGUAAAGGCUCACCUAGGCGACGAUCCCUAGCUGGUCUGAGAGGGUGACCAGCCACACUGGAACUGAGACACGGUCCAGACUCCUACGGGAGGCAGCAGUGGGGAAUAUUGCACAAUGGGCGCAAGCCUGAUGCAGCCAUGCCGCGUGUAUGAAGAAGGCCUUCGGGUUGUAAAGUACUUUCAGCGGGGAGGAAGGGAGUAAAGUUAAUACCUUUGCUCAUUGACGUUACCCGCAGAAGAAGCACCGGCUAACUCCGUG